rnacentral:rRNA from 1 species
CCUACGGGAGGCAGCAGUGAGGAAUAUUGGUCAAUGGACGAGAGUCUGAACCAGCCAAGUAGCGUGAAGGAUGACUGCCCUAUGGGUUGUAAACUUCUUUUAUAUGGGAAUAAAAUGUUCCACGUGUGGGAUUUUGUAUGUACCAUAUGAAUAAGGAUCGGCUAACUCCGUGCCAGCAGCCGCGGUAAUACGGAGGAUCCGAGCGUUAUCCGGAUUUAUUGGGUUUAAAGGGAGAGUAGGUGGAUUGUUAAGUCAGUUGUGAAAGUUUGCGGUUCAACCGUAAAAUUGCAGUUGAAACUGGCAGUCUUGAGUACAGUAGAGGUGGGCGGAAUUCGUGGUGUAGCGGUGAAAUGCUUAGAUAUCACGAAGAACUCCGAUUGCGAAGGCAGUUCACUGGACUGCAACUGACACUGAGGCUCGAAAGUGUGGGUAUCAAACAGGAUUAGAUACCCUUGUAGUC